rnacentral:rRNA from 1 species
GAUGAACGCUGGCGGCAUGCCUAACACAUGCCAGUCGAGCGAAAACAUCAGGAGCAUGCUCCUCUGACUUGGGCGCGGGACGGGUGCGGAACACGUGGACGACCUACCUCUACGAAUGGGAUGACUAUGGCAAACCGGAGCUAAUACCGAAAAAUAUAUUGAACCGCAUGGUGCAAUCGUGAAAGACGGUUUUUCUGUCACUUAUAGAUGGAUCCGCGCCGCAUUAGCUAGUUGGUAAGGUAACGGCUUACCAAGGCAACGAUGCGUAGCGGACCUGAGAGGGUGGUACGAUACACUGUAAGUGAGACACGGCACAGACUCCUACGGGAGGCAGCGGUAGAGAAUCUUACGCGAGGGACGAGAGCCGAACAGAGCACAGCCGCGUAAGGGAUGAAAGUCCUCGGCUCGUAGAGCUAUGUUGUUAUUAUAGGAGAAAAGUGUAAGUAACUGGGAACUUCUUGACGGUACCUAAUGAAUAAGCAACGGCUAACUCCGUG